rnacentral:rRNA from 1 species
AUAUUAAAGUUGUUGCAGUUAAAAAGCUCGUAGUUGAAUUUCGGGAUCAAUACGUCGGUCGUGCUUCGGUACGUACUGGCGUCAUUGAUUUCUCCCUUCUGACGAACCAUGAUGUCAUUAACUUGGUGUCAUGGGAAAUCAGGACUGUUACUUUGAAAAAAUUAGAGUGUUUAAAGCAGGCUCACGCUUGAAUACAUUAGCAUGGAAUAAUGAAAUAGGACGUUCGAUCCUAUUUUGUUGGUUUUUAGGAUCAACGUAAUGAUUAAUAGGGAUAGUUGGGGGCAUUAGUAUUCAAUUGUCAGAGGUGAAAUUCUUGGAUUUAUUGAAGACUAACUACUGCGAAAGCAUUUGCCAAGGAUGUUUUCAUUAAUCAAGAACGAAAGUUAGGGGAUCGAAGACGAUCAGAUACCGUCGUAGUCUUAACCAUAAACUAUGCCGACUAGGGAUCGGAUGAUGUUAAUUUUUUAAUGACUCAUUCGGCGCCUUACGGG